UGAGUGAAAACCAUCGAAAAAGAAGAAAGAAUUCCACCUUUGUUAAUAUAUUAGGGGUUUACAUUGCAUAUGUUGCAAGUCGCUUUUCUGGGAGCUAAUGGCUAUGGCUAUAGCUUCAAGAAUGCUUACAAUUAAAUAUGUUAAAGAAGUCAAAAGAUUAAAAGAAGAAAUGAGCAUAAUCAAAGGCCAUACAUCAUGAAAAAGAUGCGUACUUUGACCAAGGAUUGCAGUAAGGUGGAUUUUUUUCCCCUCUGAAACGAUAAAUUCACCCAUUAUAUCCAGCUAAUAGCUUAAUGUUAGAAAUUACCAGAAUUACCACCAUUAGAUUAGAAAAAAGUUCGCGGCUUCUAAAACAACAAAUAGUAGUGGAUUGCAACAUCUACUCCCACGAUGCUAAUUUUGGUACCCACGGAAUGCACGGCAUUAUCAAAAUAUAUAUUAAUUAAGUCAACUUAUGUUUUCGCUUUUUACAAGGAAGUUUCUA